UGGGGAAUAUUGGACAAUGGGCGAAAGCCUGAUCCAGCCAUGCCGCGUGUGUGAAGAAGGUCUUCGGAUUGUAAAGCACUUUAAGUUGGGAGGAAGGGCAGUAAGCGAAUACCUUGCUGUUUUGACGUUACCGACAGAAUAAGCACCGGCUAACUCUGUGCCAGCAGCCGCGGUAAUACAGAGGGUGCAAGCGUUAAUCGGAAUUACUGGGCGUAAAGCGCGCGUAGGUGGUUCGUUAAGUUGAAUGUGAAAGCCCCGGGCUCAACCUGGGAGCUGCAUCCAAAACUGGCGAGCUAGAGUAGGGCAGAGGGUGGGGGAAUUUCCUGGGUAGCGGUGAAAUGCGUAGAUAUAGGAAGGAACACCAGUGGCGAAGGCGACCACCUGGGCUCAUACUGACACUGAGGUGCGAAAGCGUGGGGAGCAAACAGG
rnacentral:rRNA from 1 species